UAGACUGCUUCACGUGCCAUUUCCAAUUAAUGAACUUUCACGUGAAAGAUUUAGAUCGUGGCCCGAUUUGUAGUUUAACGGCUAACGAUUUCCUGUCCAUUAAUGAAAUAUCUCACAUGAUGUCCCCUCAAUUUCGAAUGAAGUUCACAGCGAGUGAACUUGGGAAUUUUAUCUUACCCAGCUUUGAUGAAAGCUUUUGCUUUUCUUCAUCUUUAUUCAAACAUGAAGUGCAGGCGCACGAGGAGCGCAGGACCGUGGGACUUACUCUAAAGCGGCUUCAGCUCCUUUAAUCCCUGCUCCGAAUUGGUGAUCAGAAAGCUGCCUGUACAAUACCUGCCCCGAAUUAAAGGAGAAUGCCAGCGAACGGAAUGGAUACCCCUGGCGUUCCCCCUCGGCUGCGAUGGCUAAUCACGCUCCUGGUGCAGCAGCACAAUACUGGACUUGGGCUGAGUGUCCUCUCUGAUCAGAAACCUCCUCAGUAGUGCUGGCCCCAGUACCCAACAAUAUCCUCAAUACCAGACAGCAGAUGAUCCAAAAGCUAUGAAACAGCACACAAACCACAGAGUUUUUUUUUUUUUUUUCCUACAAUGGGCAUGGCAAAAAGACAAGUGCUUAUUCCCAAAUUACAGUGUACAGCACUGAGUUCUGUGACUCAGAGCUCUAGAGCUCAGUGAACUGGAGGCUCCAGUAAUACCCUGCCACCUGCCUGUUUAACUCACCCGACUGUGUAUCUCUUCACUGACUGUAGUGGGCGCCCUCUUCCUGCGCUUCACUUCCAGCAACUCCACCAGUGGCUUAAUGGUCAUGCCCUAAAUCCCAGAAACGUAGCACAGUGUGCACAUAGACUGUUAAUCAGAAGUCAGACUAUGUACUACACCUUGCUCCUGGUUUAGCCUAAGGUGUUCUAGGCAGCCCAGAACCAAAGGCUAGGAACCUUUGCUUGAGGUUCAAUGAUGGUAGACAUUUCUGCAACCAUUUUGUAAGGUACCAAUUGUUCAAUUUUGUGAAGUUGAAAAUAUUAAGAGUUCAAUAUCUUGCAACUGUAGAUGGUCUUUUGAACCCAUUACAGUCUCACAAGUGUUCAGACUACAAUGUGUAAGAACAGCUGUGCAGAAGACCAGGAGACAGGUGUCUAGGGUGUGUGCGCACAAUGGUGUACCAGGAACUUGGCUGUGAGUGAACUAUUGUCUGCUUUACCUGCACAAAGACUGUGAAGAGGAUGACCACAAUAGUAGUGGUGAUGAAGAGUCUCUUCUUAGGGAAGUCAUCGAUCAAGAAGACCAGAGAAAAACAUAUUGCCCCUCUCAGGCCACCGUAGGCGAUGAUGAACUGGUCCCGAAAGGUGACAGGGUUUCGCCGCAGUUUGUUCAUCACGGCCGUCAGGAGCAGCACACCUGAGACCGGACAGCAGAGGGCGCUGUUGUGAAUAUAUGCCAGUGUGAAUUCUUCAAGGGCCUCUGUGGUAAUACAGUUUACCCACCCAGGGCCCUCCAGAAGAGGCACAGGAAGAGUGUGGCAGAGACAAAGGGCCAGCUCCACAUGUGUACAUCCUGGAUGGUGGACACGCCCAGGAAGAUGAAGAUCAGAGUCUCGCUGACACUGCUCCACAUCUUCAGGAAGUAUUUUAUGGUGGUGUUGGACUCCUGGGAUACGUUGGCCUCCACAUACUGCUUCAUACUAACAGCACAGGUCACAAUCCUAAGACCAGGGGAGGACAUUCAGGCGUUUGGAUUUUUACUGAUAACUUUUCAUCUGAGACUUUCUUAGUUGUUUUAAAAUAAAUAAAACAAUUCAGUACUUGUUCUAUUAUAGAAAUGUAAAUAAAAUAGCAGGUUCUAUUAUUAAUUAUGUAUUUAAGCUUUGGCCAUGUUACCUUCAGACCACCAAAACAUUGCAGGUGUGGUUUAGUGCAGGGCAUUUAUUUAUUUAUUUAUUUAUUUAUUUUCAGUGACGCAGAAUUGGCGAUUGUGUUGGCCAGGGUACGGGAGGGUUCAG